GGGAUAUUGCACAAUGGGCGCAAGCCUGAUGCAGCGACGCCGCGUGAGUGAAGAAGUAUUUCGGUAUGUAAAGCUCUAUCAGCAGGGAAGAAAGACCCGCAAGGGGGAUGACGGUACCUGACUAAGAAGCCCCGGCUAACUACGUGCCAGCAGCCGCGGUAAUACGUAGGGGGCAAGCGUUAUCCGGAUUUACUGGGUGUAAAGGGAGCGCAGACGGAACUGCAAGUCUGAUGUGAAAGCCCGGGGCUCAACCGCGGGACUGCAUCGGAUACUGUAGAUCUGGAGUGCCGGAGGGGCAAGCGGAAUUCCUGGUGUAGCGGUGAAAUGCGUAGAUAUCAGGAGGAACACCGGCGGCGAAGGCGGCUUGCUGGACGGCAACUGACGUUGAGGCUCGAAAGCGUGGGGAGCAAACA
rnacentral:rRNA from 1 species